AAGAAAAUAACCCGAGAGAUAUCAAGGAGACAUCGAAACUACAGACCCUCUCUGCGAUCUCUGAUUUAAACGACAUUGUUCUUAUAUCCGUUAAACAACCAUGUCUUCUGGUUUCAGUGGCGAUGAAACUGCACCUUUCUUUGGCUUCCUUGGCGCCGCUGCCGCUCUCGUCUUCUCCUGUAUGGGAGCGGCAUAUGGAACAGCUAAGAGUGGUGUUGGUGUGGCAUCGAUGGGAGUGAUGAGGCCUGAACUUGUGAUGAAGUCAAUUGUACCAGUUGUUAUGGCUGGUGUGUUGGGUAUAUAUGGGUUGAUUAUUGCAGUUAUUAUCAGUACUGGAAUUAACCCUAAGGCCAAGUCGUAUUACCUGUUUGAUGGGUAUGCACAUCUUUCAUCUGGUCUUGCUUGUGGCCUUGCUGGGCUUUCUGCUGGAAUGGCCAUUGGAAUUGUUGGUGAUGCUGGUGUCAGAGCUAAUGCCCAACAACCAAAGCUUUUUGUUGGAAUGAUUCUCAUCCUCAUUUUUGCUGAAGCAUUGGCAUUAUAUGGACUUAUCGUUGGCAUUAUCUUAUCCUCUCGAGCUGGUCAGUCUAGGGCGGAUUAAGCAGGGAUAUUAGGACCUAGUGUUAUUCUUUUAUGGCUUAGUGGUGUGACUGCAGCAGAAAGGAUUAAAUGAUUGUUCACUGAUUAUUGAUAGUGAGGAACCGCUUGCAAUGUUCUGAAAUUACGGAAGUGUCUGUGUUGCCAGGCACUUGGUGGUUUCUUUGUGGUGUUUGCAGAAGUAGGAUCGAGUCUCUCUUCAGAAUAAAAGCUGGUGAAGCUGUAGUAUGUUCGCUUUUUAUAUUUUUUUAAUGUGUCAAUGUAUUCUGUGGAACCAUAAACUGUUAUUGAAAACUUUAAUUUCAGGUCUAAUCUAUCUAUGGCACUGUUAUUUAUUAAGCUUUGACGUUCAUGUAUCAUAUUUUUGGUUUGAGGUGCAUUGAGAAUGGCAUAUUUAUAUCUUUCGUUCGUUGG
rnacentral:misc_RNA from 1 species